UAGAGUUUGAUCAUGGCUCAGGAUGAACGCUGGCGGCGUGCUUAACACAUGCAAGUCGAACGGACUCAUAUUGAAACCUAGUGAUUUAUGAGUUAGUGGCGGACGGGUGAGUAACGCGUGGAUAACCUGCCGUAUACCGGGGGAUAACACUUAGAAAUAGGUGCUAAUACCGCAUAAGCGCACGGCUCCGCAUGGGGCAGUGUGAAAAACUCCGGUGGUAUACGAUGGAUCCGCGUCUGAUUAGCUAGUUGGCGGGGUAACGGCCCACCAAGGCAGCGAUCAGUAGCCGGCCUGAGAGGGUGGACGGCCACAUUGGGACUGAGACACGGCCCAAACUCCUACGGGAGGCAGCAGUGGGGAAUAUUGCACAAUGGGGGAAACCCUGAUGCAGCGACGCCGCGUGAGUGAAGAAGUAUUUCGGUAUGUAAAGCUCUAUCAGCAGGGAAGAAGAUGACGGUCCUACGGAUUGUAAACCUCUUUUGCCGGGGAGCAAGCGUGCGUUCGUGAACGCGCGUCGAGAGUACCCGGAGAAAAAGCAUCGGCUAACUCCGUGCCAGCAGCCGCGGUAAUACGGAGGAUGCGAGCGUUAUCCGGAUUUAUUGGGUUUAAAGGGUGCGUAGGCGGGAUGCCAAGUCAGCGGUAAAAAAGCGGUGCUCAACGCCGUCGAGCCGUUGAAACUGGCGUUCUUGAGUGGGCGAGAAGUAUGCGGAAUGCGUGGUGUAGCGGUGAAAUGCAUAGAUAUCACGCAGAACUCCGAUUGCGAAGGCAGCAUACCGGCGCCCUACUGACGCUGAGGCACGAAAGCGUGGGUAUCGAACAGGAUUAGAUACCCUGGUAGUCCACGCAGUAAACGAUGAAUGCUAACUGUCCGGUGCGAGUGAGCGCUGGGCGGUACAGCGAAAGCGUUAAGCAUU
rnacentral:rRNA from 1 species